AUGGGUACAUCUACGUGUACAGCUAUGACACAAUGGAAGAAAUCAAGAGCUUCGAAGCUCAUGAUGGUCGUCAGGUCUUUGGCUGCAAAUCCAACACAUACGUUUUUGCUGUCGGCAUCAGAUGACCAAAUGAUAAAGAUCUGGGACUGGAAGAAUGGCUGGAAGUGCAUGCGGACGUUUCUAGGGCACAGUAAAUGUGUCACACAAGUAAUGUUUGAUCCAAAUGACAGCACCAGAUUUGCCAGUGCUUCUUUGGAUCACACGGUCAAGAUGUGGGACAUUUACUCUCCAACGUGCAAUGCCACGUUAGACGGACAACCUGAUGGUGUGCUUUGCCUCCAUUACUUCACAUAUAUGAAUCAGCAGCUUUUACUUUCUGGAUCUUCGGAUGGCGCUGCAAAGAUCUGGGAUCUGGAGAAAGAAUGUUGUUUUAGUACGCUGGGAGGGAAUGCAAAGAGUGUUAAUGCUCUUUGUUGGCACCCCGAACUUCAUGUAGUAAUUACAGGUUCACUUGAUGGGACAGUCCAAAUCUGGAAGUCCACUAAACCUGGAUACAGGCUUGAGAAUGUAAUUGGUUUCAACCUCGGUGCAGUUAACGCUAUUGGAUACAUACAGGGAUUAACAAGGAUUGUAGUUGGAUGUGAACAAGGAAUAACAAUAAUGGAAAUAAAUUUCCCGCAAAAGGAAGGCGUCGUGCACCAGGAGAGAAACAACAAAAAAUGA
rnacentral:rRNA from 1 species